UCGGACGCCGAAAGGAGAACGAAGGACCGCCGCGAGGCGAGGGGAGACGCUCGAUCUUGUCUUCUCCGUCUUUGAGGUGAAGCGAUCGAUUCCUCUUCUUGGUGUGUUGGCUCCCGGACUCGAGGAGGAUGGGAGACUUCAACGACCCCCUGAAUCGCAACAACCCCCAGGCCCGCACCAAAGCCCAGAAUCGAGCCAACGUCCUCCAGUUGAAGCUUAUUGGGCAAAGCCAUCCAACUGGCCUUACUGCUAAUCUAUUGAAGCUUUUUGAGCCACGUCUGCAGUUGGAGUAUAAACCUCCUCCAGAGAAAAGGAAAUGCCCUCCCUACACUGGGAUGGCACAAUUUGUUAGCCAUUUUGCUGAACCAACUGAUCCUGAAUAUGCUCCGCCAAUAGUUGAGGGUGAAACUCGGGUCCAAAGAAGAGCUAGAAUUCGACAAGUACGCCUUGAAGAGGGUGCAAGACAGGUUGCUGAAAGCUUGGAAAAAUAUGAUCCAUCUAAAGAUCCAAAUGCUACCGGUGAUCCAUACAAGACACUUUUUGUUGCCAGGCUUAACUAUGAAACAACUGAACACCGGAUCAAGAGGGAGUUUGAAACUUAUGGACCAAUUAAGAGGGUAAGUAUGCAUGACUUCUAUUGUGAGGAGCUUGUGCUAUUGCUCUUAACAUGGGUAAGAAUUCAUUUCAAAUCAGGCACUAAAAGUAUGUUCUAGCCCAGCUGUUUUUGUAAAUCAUCAUACAAAUAUCAAUCUACUGCAUGUUUAUCCGAAUUUUCAUUAGUCCUAGGUAACCAAGAGAAACAUAUACUUUUGGAACUCAUGGUUGGUUUUUCGUUAUAUUAGGAUAGGUGCCAAGGAUUUUUUGGAAUCAUAUUUUUGUCACAGUGUGUAUUAUCUGUAGGUUGGUCAUGCAACUAUUUUGCUUCGUGCAGCCUGACCAGAUUUUAUGUUUUUCUUUUGUGAACAAAAAGACAUCAACAAAACAAUUUCCAUUUUUUUUUUGCUUUACAUCCAAACAAAGGGAGGGGUUGUGACUGGGGAGUUUUUUCUUUAUUACUUUGGUGAAGCUUGGGUAAGUUGGGUGGUUGGAUGUCAUGGAUAUUAUAUAUAUUGGGUGUUUUGAGACUCCUCUACUGUCCUAGCUACAAAAAGGUGGCCAUGAAACAUUCUUUCACAUUAACUUUGCUGGGACAUCAGGUACUAUAUUUAAGUUAUUUUCUACGAUAUAUUCAUGCCACUCUGCUCUUGCUCCAAACUUUAUUGCCAGUUGAAAAAUCUCUUAAGAAUGAGACAAAGUUAGAAGCUUUGUGCACAGCCAAGUAUAGGGGCUAUGACAGGUAUACUAGCCAUAGGUGGUGCAAUGAGUUCUUUGAUAUAUUGGGUUUUUGAUUACUGCCUUUUAGAGAAGCCAGAAGAUCUUGCUUUGUGAAGACUUUGUGAGUAGCACAGGUAUUUCUUUAGUUGCGUAUAGGUUUGUGGUGCAUUUGGUUGGUUUCAAAGGAAUAAAUACUUGCGGUGAGAAAGAUCCAGAUUCUUCAACUCAGAAUGUUUACAAUGGGCACUCUUAAAUUUCCUUUUUGGUCAAUAACUCAAUAUAGUUGCUACUCACUACAGUCAUUCUGCCUUAUCCUUGGGUCGACAAAGGUAAUCAGGUAAUAAAUCAAGGUACCUCGUGAAGGGAUUAAAACUUUUCUAAUUUUCCCUUGGAUUUUUAAUGCAAUACAACUGAGCAUUGGUGGUGAUUCUAAUGAAGAAUGCAUUCUCAACAAAUUUAAAUGGAUAAUUGGAAAAUGUUUUCAUCCUUCAGAGGGUUUUUGGUUUCAGAAGGUUUCUGGUAUACCCUACUUUCACAAUUCUAAUUUUGUUGUUAUUCUUAAUAUACCCUGGUAAGGGGGUGGUAAAAUAUUUAAUUGUUCUGGAACAUACAUCGGUUUUCUGCUCUGUCAACUCAAUUGGUAUGGUGUUGAUGCAUCUGGCAUGGUGAACCUGUACACCUGUUAAGGUACGUUUGGUUACAGAUAAGGAAACAAAUAAACCAAGAGGAUACGCCUUCAUUGAAUAUGUGCAUACACGUGACAUGAAAUCCGCAUACAAGCAAGCUGAUGGAAGGAAACUUGAUAAUAGACGAGUUCUUGUUGAUGUUGAGCGUGGAAGAACUGUGCCAAAUUGGAGGCCUCGAAGAUUGGGUGGUGGACUUGGUACAACCAGGACCGGAGGUGAAGAAUUAGCCCAGAAGCAUUCCGGCAGGGAGCAGCAACAACUUACAUCAGAUCAUUCUAGAUCAGAGGAGCCAAGGGCAAGGGAGAAAUCUCGAGAUCGGGGGCGGGAUCGUGAGAGAGAUGACAGACCUCAUGAACGUUCCCAUGAAAGGACCCGGGAGCCGAGAGAGGACAGGCACCACCAUCAAAAGGAUCGAGAUAGAAACAGAGAAAGAGAGAGAGACAAGGAAAAGGAUAAAGAGAGAGAGAGGGAGAGAGAUCGUGGUCGAGACCGUGAUCGAGCUCGUGGCAAAGAGAGGGAAAGGGACCGUGGUCGUGAUUAUGACCGUGAGCGCGAACGUGAUCGUCCACGUGAUAGAGACCGGGAGCGAGAAAGAGACUAUGAUCAAGCCGGUUAUGAAAGAGAACGCGGUUAUUUUCAUGACAAGGAUUCUGAAUAUGGUAGUGAGUCAAAGCAUGGCAGGGAGAGGUCUGGCGCGAGAGACAGAAAUAUUGAGCAUGGAAAUGGGCAAGAAUGGUAUGAUGGACUACGAAAUCCGGAGCAUGAACGCGACUACAAUCAGUAUGAUGAGUCCCAGGGUCAGAAACAGUAUGAUCAUCCUCCACCAGUUAAGCCUGCGGAACACAUUGAGAGGUCAAAGCGACAUGAAAUGGAUUAUUAUGAACAUGGGUCUUACGAUCAGCGUCAGCCUGAUUAUUAUCAAAAUCAAUAUGAGUAUGCAGAUGCAGAUCAACGUGAGGAGGGUGAGGCAGUAGGAGAUGAUUAUGGAUACCAUCCUUCCGGUAGGUCCCUGUCCAGGGAGCGACAAGCUUAAUACUGGAUUUGAUGAAUUUGGUAGGUUCUGUUGCAUUCACUACAAUGAUGCAUCAUGCAUUGAUCUCGACUCCCAGCUUUCUUAUCCAGCAACGUGGCGUGUACCUUCCAAGGCGUAUUAGGUUCGAUCGUAAUCGUUAUGUUGCAAACAGACUGGUGUGUUUUGGUAUGUUCCAAUCCAUUAAUUGAACUGUUUGGGUUCUGGUUUUUUCCCUUUAUCGACUCUUGUAAACUUGCUUCCUUCAUUAUCAUUUUAUUGGCAGCUUCGACGUGAAACAUUAAACCAGUUUGAUUUGUCUGUUU